rnacentral:rRNA from 1 species
GGGAGCUUGCUCUGUGGGAUCAGUGGCGAACGGGUGAGUAACACGUGAGCAACCUGCCCCUGACUCUGGGAUAAGCGCUGGAAACGGCGUCUAAUACUGGAUAUGUGACGUGACCGCAUGGUCUGCGUCUGGAAAGAAUUUCGGUUGGGGAUGGGCUCGCGGCCUAUCAGCUUGUUGGUGAGGUAAUGGCUCACCAAGGCGUCGACGGGUAGCCGGCCUGAGAGGGUGACCGGCCACACUGGGACUGAGACACGGCCCAGACUCCUACGGGAGGCAGCAGUGGGGAAUAUUGCACAAUGGGCGCAAGCCUGAUGCAGCAACGCCGCGUGAGGGAUGACGGCCUUCGGGUUGUAAACCUCUUUUAGCAGGGAAGAAGCGAAAGUGACGGUACCUGCAGAAAAAGCGCCGGCUAACUACGUGCCAGCAGCCGCGGUAAUACGUAGGGCGCAAGCGUUAUCCGGAAUUAUUGGGCGUAAAGAGCUCGUAGGCGGUUUGUCGCGUCUGCUGUGAAAUCCGGAGGCUCAACCUCCGGCCUGCAGUGGGUACGGGCAGACUAGAGUGCGGUAGGGGAGAUUGGAAUUCCUGGUGUAGCGGUGGAAUGCGCAGAUAUCAGGAGGAACACCGAUGGCGAAGGCAGAUCUCUGGGCCGUAACUGACGCUGAGGAGCGAAAGGGUGGGGAGCAAACAGGCUUAGAUACCCUGGUAGUCCACCCCGUAAACGUUGGGAACUAGUUGUGGGGUCCAUUCCACG